rnacentral:rRNA from 1 species
UACGGGGGGGGCAAGCGUUGUUCGGAAUUACUGGGCGUAAAGGGCUCGUAGGCGGCCAACUAAGUCGGACGUGAAAUCCCCAGGCUCAACCUGGGAACUGCGUCCGAUACUGGAUGGCUUGAAUCCGGGAGAGGGAUGCAGAAUUCCAGGUGUAGCGGUGAAAUGCGUAGAUAUCGGAAGGAACAUCAGUGGCGAAAGCGGCUUCCUGGACCAGUACCGACGUUCAGGCACGAAAGCGUGGGGAGCAAACAGG